rnacentral:rRNA from 1 species
UACGAAGGGGGCUAGCGCUUUUCGGAAUUACCGGACGUAAAGCGCGUGUAGGCGGGCCGUUAAGUCGGGGGUGAGAGCCCAGAGCUCAACUCUGGAACUGCCUUCGAUACUGGCGGCCUGGCGCAUGAUAGAGGCGAGUGGAACUGCGAGUGUAGAGGUGAAAUUCGUAGAUUUUCGCAGGAACACCAGUUGCGAAGGCGAAUCGCUGGAUCAUUGCUGACGCUGAGACGCGAAAGCGUGGGGAGCAAAUAGG